rnacentral:rRNA from 1 species
UACGGAGGAUGCGAGCGUUAUCCGGAUUUAUUGGGUUUAAAGGGAGCGUAGAUGGAUGUUUAAGUCAGUUGUGAAAGUUUGCGGCUCAACCGUAAAAUUGCAGUUGAUACUGGGUGUCUUGAGUACAGUAGAGGCAGGCGGAAUUCGUGGUGUAGCGGUGAAAUGCUUAGAUAUCACGAAGAACUCCGAUUGCGAAGGCAGCCUGCUGGACUGUAACUGACAUUGAGGCUCGAAAGUGUGGGUAUCAAACAGG